GUGUAUCUUCCCAAGUGGCGUGGAUGUGAGGAGACACGACAUUUCACCUGAUGUUCCAUGGGCGACCUACUGGUGAUGUGGACCUGACCCUCCGCCAUGUAGCAGACAACCCCCCUCAGGUCCUGCGGUGUAUCUUCCCAAGUGGCGUGGAUGUGAGGAGACACGACAUUUCACCUGAUGUUCCAUGGGCGACCUACUGGUGAUGUGGACCUGACCCUCCGCCAUGUAGCAGACAACCCCCCUCAGGUCCUGCGGUGUAUCUUCCCAAGUGGCGUGGAUGUGAGGAGACACGACAUUUCACCUGAUGUUCCAUGGGCGACCUACUGGUGAUGUGGACCUGACCCUCCGCCAUGUAGCAGACAACCCCCCCCC